rnacentral:rRNA from 1 species
UCCUGGCUCAGGACGAACGCUGGCGGCAUGCCUAACACAUGCAAGUCGAACGAGGAUAGCAAUAUCCGAGUGGCGAACGGGUGAGUAACACGUGAGCAACCUGCCUUACACAACGGGAUACCUACUGGAAACAGUAGUUAAUACGGUAUAAGACCACAGUACCGCAUGAUACAGUGGUAAAAGAUUUAUCGGUGUAAGAUGGGCUCGCGGCGCAUUAGCUAGCUGGAGAGGUAACGGCUCACCAAGGCGACGAUGCGUAGCCGACCUGAGAGGGUGAUCGGCCACAUUGGGACUGAGAUACGGCCCAGACUCCUACGGGAGGCAGCAGUGGGGAAUAUUGGGCAAUGGAGGAAACUCUUACCCAGCAAAUGCCGCGUGAGUGAAGAAGGUCGUAAGAUUGUAAAGCUCUUUAGUCAGGGAAAAGAUAGUGAUUGAUCUGAAGAAUAAGCUCCGGCUAACUACGUGCCAGCCGCGGC